AGGAUAAUAGUUAAUUAUAACAUUUGACUUGCAUUCAAAAAGUAUUGAAUUGUUCAGUUUAUCUUG
rnacentral:tRNA from 1 species